rnacentral:rRNA from 1 species
CAACUUUCAGCGAUGGAUAUCUCGGCUCAAACAUCGAUAAAGGGCGCAGCAAAGUGUGAUAAUCAUUGUGAAUUGCAGAAUUCCGUGAACCAAUAGACUUUUGAAUGUAUAUUACACUUCUGGGUUAUCCCUGGAUGUUCAUCUGCUUCAGUGCUUUGUGUU